rnacentral:rRNA from 1 species
AACGAACGCUGGCGGCAUGCCUAAUACAUGCAAGUCGAACGAUCACUUCGGUGGUAGUGGCGCACGGGUGCGUAACGCGUGGGAAUCUACCCUUGGGUUCGGAAUAACAGUUAGAAAUGACUGCUAAUACCGGAUGAUGACGAAAGUCCAAAGAUUUAUCGCCCAAGGAUGAGCCCGCGUAGGAUUAGCUAGUUGGUGAGGUAAAAGCUCACCAAGGCGACGAUCCUUAGCUGGUCUGAGAGGAUGAUCAGCCACACUGGGACUGAGACACGGCCCAGACGCCUACGGGAGGCAGCAGUAGGGAAUAUUGGACAAUGGGGGCAACCCUGAUCCAGCAAUGCCGCGUGAGUGAUGAAGGCCUUAGGGUUGUAAAGCUCUUUUACCCGAGAUGAUAAUGACAGUAUCGGGAGAAUAAGCUCCGGCUAACUCCGUGCCAGCCGCCGCCGUAAUAC